CCGCCGCCGCCUCCGCCUCCUCCUCUACUUCCUCCUCCUCCUCCUCCUCUGCCUCCUCCUCGACCUCACAGCCCCCAGCCUCCUCUGGGGGGGGUGACCUGCCACCACCACAGCCUGCCAGCCAGCCCCCUGGGACCCCACAGCUCACCUUGUCCCAACCCAUCCAGCUCACAGCACAGGACAUACAGCAGCUCCUCCAGCUCCAGCAGCUGGUGCUUGUGCCAGGCCACCACCUCCAGCCACCUGCUCAGUUCCUGCUACCGCAGGCCCAGCAGAGCCAGCCAGGCCUGCUACCGACACCAAAUCUAUUCCAGCUACCUCAGCAAACCCAGGGAGCUCUUCUGACCUCCCAGCCCCGGGCCGGGCUUCCCACACAGGCCGUGACCCGCCCUACGCUGCCCGACCCGCACCUCUCGCACCCGCAGCCCCCCAAAUGCUUGGAGCCACCAUCCCACCCCGAGGAGCCCAGUGAUCUGGAGGAGCUGGAGCAAUUCGCCCGCACCUUCAAGCAACGCCGCAUCAAGCUGGGCUUCACGCAGGGUGAUGUGGGCCUGGCCAUGGGCAAGCUCUACGGCAACGACUUCAGCCAGACGACCAUUUCCCGCUUCGAGGCCCUCAACCUGAGCUUCAAGAACAUGUGCAAACUCAAGCCCCUCCUGG
rnacentral:lncRNA from 1 species